CUCCUGAUGACUCUCAGAGAAGCGGCGGCAGUGCCACAGAGAGGAGCGUCACAGACAGCGGGGAAGCAGAAGCACCAAGCCACGAAGAAAUAAUAGAAGGAUGCUUGUAACAAGAAGAGAUUAGGAGCUAAAUUUUCUGGUUCUGCUCCUGGAUCAGCUAAUGCCUCACUGCAGCCUUGAGUAAGAUGCUUCCAUGCUGUGUGCUUCUGUCUCUUGGACUUUCAUGAUGGCAGCAGAAAUAGAACAGUUCCAAGAGCAUGGGCAGAGCCUGCCUGAAAAGUUACAGCAACUUAUAGCACAAAGUUUAUUUCAGGAAAAAGAUAUCAAAAAAACAAAUCCAAUUUCCUGCAUGUUCCCUGAACCAGCACAAUUGCAACAUGACUACAACCAGAGGAUACAGGCAGAUGGAC